AGAACCCGAUCCCAUCCCGAACUCGGCCGUUAAACUCCCCAGCGCUGAUGGUACUAAGUCUCAAGACUUGGGAGAGUAAGUCGCUGCCAGGC
rnacentral:rRNA from 1 species